rnacentral:rRNA from 9 species
GAGUUUGAUCAUGGCUCAGAUUGAACGCUGGCGGCAUGCCUUACACAUGCAAGUCGAACGGCAGCACGGGAGCUUGCUCCUGGGUGGCGAGUGGCGAACGGGUGAGUAAUGCAUCGGAACGUAUCCUGGAGUGGGGGAUAACGUAGCGAAAGUUACGCUAAUACCGCAUAUUCUGUGAGCAGGAAAGCGGGGGACCUUCGGGCCUCGCGCUCUUGGAGCGGCCGAUGUCGGAUUAGCUAGUUGGUGAGGUAAAGGCUCACCAAGGCGACGAUCCGUAGCAGGUCUGAGAGGAUGAUCUGCCACACUGGAACUGAGACACGGUCCAGACUCCUACGGGAGGCAGCAGUGGGGAAUUUUGGACAAUGGGGGCAACCCUGAUCCAGCCAUGCCGCGUGAGUGAAGAAGGCCUCGGUU